CACUGGUUGAGAGUUGUUGUCGCUCUCCUGAUGAGUCCAAAGAAGGACGAAACCAGUA
rnacentral:hammerhead_ribozyme from 1 species